UACGUAGGUGGCAAGCGUUGUCCGGAUUUACUGGGCGUAAAGAGCGCGCAGGCGGUCAGAUAAGUCGAAUGUGAAAGCCCCCGGCUCAACUGGGGAGGGUCAUUCGAUACUGUUCGACUCGAAGGCAGGAGAGGGAAGUGGAAUUCCCGGUGUAGUGGUGAAGUGCGUAGAUAUCGGGAGGAACACCAGUGGCGAAGGCGACUUCCUGGCCUGUUCUUGACGCUGAGGCGCGAAAGCUAGGGGAGCAAACGGG
rnacentral:rRNA from 1 species